rnacentral:rRNA from 1 species
UACGAAGGGGGCUAGCGUUGUUCGGAAUUACUGGGCGUAAAGUGUGCGCAGGCGGCUUCGCAAGUCGAGUGUGAAAUCCCCGAGCUUAACUUGGGAAUUGCGCUCGAAACUACGGAGCUGGAGUGCGGCAGAGGAAGGUGGAAUUCCACGUGUAGCGGUGAAAUGCGUAGAGAUGUGGAGGAACACCGAUGGCGAAGGCAGCCUUCUGGGCCAACACUGACGCUCAUGCACGAAAGCGUGGGGAGCAAACAGG